AUACUUUUUUUUUUUCUUUUUCUUUUUUAUCGGUACAGGGGAUCGAAUUCACGACUGCCUGCUUGCAAGGCAGACGCUUAUGCUGCUGAGCUAACGUCAAUAUACCACGCAAAGCUCGUGAACGUGGUCGGUCCUGAAAGCCGCCGUACUGCACUCACCCUUCACGCGAAUGGAAAGAGACGAAUCACAUCCUGGGAGAUACCUGCAAACAUUUACCCAAGGAGAACUGCUGUAGGAGAGUGUAAGGAAUUCCUGGGACCUGCAUGGGCAAAGAGGCUGGAAAUGCAAAUCAUGACUACAGUUCAUCUCUACCGCCCACUCUCUGGCAGGAAUCAACAGCUCUGACGAAACCUGCAUGGCCAGGGCUGCAAGGUGAGACGCGCAACAGUCAGACUGCAGACAACGAAGUAACGCAGAACUGGAAACACCACAGACAUUUAUCAAUAAAAUAGAAUUUGAAAGUA